CUACGUCUUGACAUCCAGCGAAGCCUUUAGAGAUAGAGGCGUGCCUUCGGGAGCGCUGAAACAGGUGCUGCAUGGCUGUCGUCAGCUCGUGUUGUGAAAUGUUGGGUUAAGUCCCGCAACGAGCGCAACCCUUAUCCUUGUUUGCCAGCACGUAAUGGUGGGAACUCCAGGGAGACUGCCGGUGAUAAACCGGAGGAAGGUGGGGACGACGUCAAGUCAUCAUGGCCCUUACGAGUAGGGCUACACACGUGCUACAAUGGCAGAUACAGAGGGCAGCGAGACUGCGAUGUUUAGCGAAUCCCUUAAAGUUUGUCGUAAUCCGGAUUGGAAUCCUGCACCUCGACUCCAUGAAGUCAGAAUCGCUAGUAAUCGUGGAUCAAAAUGCCACGGUGAAUACGUUCCCGGGUCUGGUACACACCG
rnacentral:rRNA from 1 species